AAGCUCGUAGUUGAAUUUCGGAAUUUGUCGGUUGGUCGGGCUUCACUGUCCGCACUGGCCUGAUAGAUUCCUACCUUCUGAAUAACCAGCAUGCUAUUAAUUUAGUGCGUUGGGGAAGCAGAGCUAUUACCUUGAAAAAAUUAGAGUGCUUAAAGCAGGUUUAUGCUUGAGUAGAUUAGCAUGGAAUAAUAAAAUAGGACGGCUUGGUUCUAUUUUGUUGGUUUCUAGGAUCACCGUAAUGAUUAAUAGGGAUAGUUGGG
rnacentral:rRNA from 1 species